rnacentral:rRNA from 1 species
GACGAACGCUGGCGGCGUGCUUAACACAUGCAAGUCGAACGGUGAAGCGCCUUCCUUUUUGGUGGGUGUGGAUGAGUGGCGAACGGGUGGGUAACACGUGAGUAACCUGCCCCCUUCUUCUGGAUAACCGCAUGAAAGUGUGGCUAAUACGGGAUAUUCUGGGUCUGUCGCAUGAUGGGUCUGGGAAAGAUAUUGUUUCGGUGGGGGAUGGGCUCGCGGCCUAUCAGCUUGUUGGUGGGGUGAUGGCCUACCAAGGCGGUGACGGGUAGCCGGCCUGAGAGGGUGGACGGUCACACUGGGACUGAGACACGGCCAAGACUCCUACGGGAGGCAGCAGUGAGGAAUAUUGCACAAUGGGCGCAAGGCUGAUGCAGCGACGCCGCGUGAGGGAUGGAGGCCUUCGGGUUGUGAACCUCUUUCGCCAGUGAAGCAGGCCUGCCUCGUUUGUGGGUGGGUUGACGGUAGCUGGAUAAGAAGCGCCGGCUAACUACGUG